rnacentral:rRNA from 1 species
GUCCACGCCGUAAACGAUGUCUACUAGCCGUUGGGCGACUUGAUCGCUUAGUGGCGCAGUUAACGCGAUAAGUAGACCGCCUGGGGAGUACGGCCGCAAGGUUAAAACUCAAAUGAAUUGACGGGGGCCCGCACAAGCGGUGGAGCAUGUGGUUUAAUUCGAUGCAACGCGAAGAACCUUACCAGGUCUUGACAUCCUAGGAAUCCUGCAGAGAUGCGGGAGUGCCUUCGGGAAUCUAGAGACAGGUGCUGCAUGGCUGUCGU